rnacentral:rRNA from 1 species
CACGGAGGGUGCGAGCGUUGUCCGGAACCACUGGGCGUAAAGGGCGCGUAGGCGGCUUUUUAAGGGUGCGGUGAAAGCCCGGGGCUUAACCCCGGAAUUGCACCUCAAACUACAUGGCUAGAGCAUUGGAGAGGGUAGCAGAAUUCAUGGUGUAGCAGUGAAAUGCGUAGAUAUCAUGAGGAAUACCAGAGGCGAAGGCGGCUACCUGGACAAUUGCUGACGCUCAGGCACGAAAGCGUGGGGAGCAAAAGGG